UACGGGGGGGGUAAGCGUUGUUCGGAAUUACUGGGCGUAAAGGGCUCGUAGGCGGCCAACUAAGUCAUACGUGAAAUCCCUCGGCUUAACCGGGGAACUGCGUCUGAUACUGGAUGGCUUGAGGCUAGUAGGGGUCACUGGAACUGACGGUGGAGCGGUGAAAUGCGUAGAUAUCGUCAGGAACGCCGAUGGUGAAGACAGGUGACUGGGCUAGUUCUGACACUGAGGCACGAAAGCGUGGGGAGCGAACGGG
rnacentral:rRNA from 1 species